rnacentral:rRNA from 1 species
GUUUUUGGUACCACCUAGAACUCACCCAGCCUCAUCUGAUCUUGGAAGUUAAGCAGGGUCAGGGGUGGUUAGUACUUGAUUGGGAAACUGCCAGGGAAUAUCAGGUGCUGUAGGCU